GUGCGGGUCUGUUGUGUGUGUGUAUACCCCGGGCAGCGCCGUGCAAUAGCGUGGAGCGCCUCACUGCCCAAGUGGUUCGUGCACACUCAACACGUUAGAGGAAUCAGCUGUGGCGCCCCGACAGCACCGACGCCGAGUUAACAAGAUGUGGUGAAAAAACAUGUGGUGAUGUUCCGACGUAUUGUGACACUGUAAAUCCUGGGUGAUAGUUUUGUGAUAUUAGAUUGUGAUUGUGAAGAUAGUGAUGGUGGAGAUGGUGAUGAUGUGGGAUGGAGAGGACUAGGAUUGUAAAGUGGGGGUAGGGGAGGGAGAGAGGGGUUGAUUAAAAGGUCAGGGUGAUGAUGGUUAUGAUGUUAGUAUAUUCAUAGCGAUGUUUGUUGUGGUUGUAGUUCAUGGGAAGGGCGUUGACGAAGAAUAGUUGUUGUUGUUUUUAUAAAGUAUUAUACAAUUUAUAUUUAGCUUGUAAUGUUGAUGGCGAUGGUGAAUAAACUAUAAAAGUAAUA
rnacentral:lncRNA from 1 species